ensembl:snRNA U6 U6 spliceosomal RNA
GUCCUCCCUUCAGCCACACAUAUACUGAAAGUGGAACAAUACAGAAAAGAUAGGCAAGGCCACUGUCCAAGGAUGGCAUGCUAAUUCCUAAAGGGUUACAUAAAAAU